GAUGAACGCUGGCGGCGUGCCUAAUACAUGCAAGUCGAGCGAACAGACGAGGAGCUUGCUCCUCUGACGUUAGCGGCGGACGGGUGAGUAACACGUGGAUAACCUACCUAUAAGACUGGGAUAACUUCGGGAAACCGGAGCUAAUACCGGAUAAUAUAUUGAACCGCAUGGUUCAAUAGUGAAAGACGGUUUUGCUGUCACUUAUAGAUGGAUCCGCGCCGCAUUAGCUAGUUGGUAAGGUAACGGCUUACCAAGGCAACGAUGCGUAGCCGACCUGAGAGGGUGUUCGGCCACACUGGAACUGAGACACGGUCCAGACUCCUACGGGAGGCCGCAGUAGGGAAUCUUCCGCAAUGUGCGAAAGCUUGACGGAGCAACGCCGCGUGAGUGAUGAAGGUCUUCGGAUCGUAAAACUCUGUUAUUAUUGAAGAACAAAUGUGUAAGUAACUAUGCACGUCUUGACGGUACCUAAUCAGAAAGCCACGGCUAACUACGUG
rnacentral:rRNA from 1 species